AGUGAACGCUGGCGGUAGGCCUAACACAUGCAAGUCGAACGGCAGCGCAGUAAGAGCUUGCUCUUACGGGUGGCGAGUGGCGGACGGGUGAGGAAUACAUCGGAAUCUACUUUUUCGUGGGGGAUAACGUAGGGAAACUUACGCUAAUACCGCAUACGACCUACGGGUGAAAGCAGUGGAUCUUCGGACCUUGCGCGACUGAAUGAGCCGAUGUCGGAUUAGCUAGUUGGCGGGGUAAAGGCCCACCAAGGCGACGAUCCGUAGCUGGUCUGAGAGGAUGAUCAGCCACACUGGAACUGAGACACGGUCCAGACUCCUACGGGAGGCAGCAGUGGGGAAUAUUGGACAAUGGGCGCAAGCCUGAUCCAGCCAUACCGCGUGGGUGAAGAAGGCCUUCGGGUUGUAAAGCCCUUUUGUUGGGAAAGAAAAGCAGCAGGUUAAUACCCCGCUGUUCUGACGGUACCCAAAGAAUAAGCACCGGCUAACUUCGUG
rnacentral:rRNA from 1 species